UACAGAGGGUGCAAGCGUUAAUCGGAAUUACUGGGCGUAAAGCGCACGUAGGCGGUUUUUUAAGUCAGAUGUGAAAGCCCCGGGCUCAACCUGGGAAUUGCAUUUGAAACUGGGGAACUAGAGUGUGUGAGAGGGGGGUAGAAUUCCAAGUGUAGCGGUGAAAUGCGUAGAGAUUUGGAGGAAUACCAGUGGCGAAGGCGGCCCCCUGGCACAACACUGACGCUCAGGUGCGAAAGCGUGGGGAGCAAAC
rnacentral:rRNA from 2 species